UACGUAGGUGGCGAGCGUUGUCCGGAAUUACUGGGCGUAAAGGGUGCGUAGGCGGAUAUUUAAGUCAGAUGUGAAAUUCCAAAGCUCAACUUUGGAAUUGCAUUUGAAACUGGGUAUCUAGAGUGCAGGAGAGGAAAGCGGAAUUCCUAGUGUAGCGGUGAAAUGCGUAGAUAUUAGGAAGAACACCAGUGGCGAAGGCGGCUUUCUGGACUGUAACUGACGCUGAGGCACGAAAGCGUGGGGAGCAAACAGGAUUAGAUACC
rnacentral:rRNA from 1 species